rnacentral:lncRNA from 1 species
GUGUUUGUUUACUGAGAUGGCCCCCCGGUCAGGAAUCAGAUAUUCUGAAACACCAGGGCAGGCAGGGGCUGGAGUCCACCAGCUGGGGACAGGCACUGUGCGGUGAGGGAAGGUCUGGGGCUCCCACCGUGCCCAUCCCGCCGUCCUGACCUCCCUGUUUCCUCCCUCUUCUCUCGCUCUUCCCAGGGAAGGUCCGCAGGCAGGGCGGGCUCUGAGAGAAAGUCUCCUUUGUUUCUCCCGCAAAUGUUUUCGUUAGAAAGCUGGAUCUCUUCUGUAUGUUGUCCCUGGCCCCUCGCAGAACCAGUCGUCGGGUUUCAGGACCACGAUUUGGACAGCUGCACAUGCUAAUUUGAUCAGGCUGGCCUAAUGGGAAGGUUGACCUGAUUUCCACUCUCCUACCAAAAAGUGACAAUGCAGCUGCCGGGCCAAGGAGGGACGUUGUGUGACCAGUUCAGAGGCAGGAGUUCACGCGGCUGCAGUGACCCUCUGCAAAAGGAAGCAACUGGACAUUUCCUCUACACAUUGUCUCUUUUGAAAAGUUCCAAGCAGAUGCUCGCCCACCCACCAAGGCUGAGGCCGAAGAAAAUUCUCCGAUGA